UAAAAUCUGUGUUAAACCUUGUAAAAUAAGGACUAUAAAAAUUUUAAAAAGGGCCUAAAAACGAAUAUUUUUAAACUACUUAAAUGCUAAACUGUUUCUUAAACUAAAUUAAUAAGUCUAAACCAUGUAUAGGUUUGUGAAAAGCCCUUAAAAUAAUUAUUUUUGCCCUGCAGACGAACUUAUGAAGCAAAAAUAGAUUUUUUAAAUUUGUUUAUGUUGUAGAAACUAAAUGUAAAAUAACGAUGCUAACUCUGUGACCUAUUUUCAACAUGGCGGGUACUAGGAUUAUCACCGGAGCAACUGUGGAGCAAAGCACAUCGUCUUUACAGUGUGAAAACAUAAUGCUUUCUUAAUUUUAUGAAGAACACGCACUAGAAAUGCUUAGGUACAUCUCAGAAGGAUUGGUGUGCACCAGAAUAUCACAAGAAAUGACCAUAUCUGCAGUUGGUCGUCCUUAGAAUGUACAUUUUUUGUUGAACCACUUCAGACUGUUGUCAGGCUUGGGUUCCUCAAUAUAUCCAGCUCACCGAUUUAGCUCUGGUUGUUUGUUGUAAGGGCUUUGUUACUUGUGUUAUCAUAACACAAACAGUUAAGGACAACUGAGCUUGUAGACAGCUUCAUUAGAAAUUCCUUACCCAGAAUCAAAGAUUUUACAUCCUAGGCCUGGAUGUAAACCUUGACCUGGACAAUCUUACAGACAAUAAUAGAAGAGUCACCUGAAAUUGCACAGGCAAAUUCAUCAGAUUCAGAUCCUGUCCUACCAUCUUCAGGUAGACACAGUAGUGGAUAUCCUGGCAAACCUUUAUUGGACUUAGAGCCACCUUGGGACAAUCCCCCAUAACAAAUGUGCAUCUUAGGCUUGGCAAUCUCAGUCAGUUUUGUAGGAAAGGAGGAUUGGCGCCAUUGAAUUGACAAAUAUUGACAAUUGACAGUUCAGUCACACUAAUUUAUAGUGGCAUGUUGCUUCAAGUUACCACACUUAUUCUAAGAUUGCUGAAUUAUCAUUACUGUAGGAGACCCUGGACAUCUCAACCAGAAGAAGAAACUUGGGGAUCAAUCAGUUAUAAGAUUAAAAUCUGUGGAACACUACCCAUCACUGUUGUGUUCAGUAUAUGGAAAAUAUUACCGUGAUAUUGGAACCUUGGAGAUUCAUAACUUGAUUUCACUCCUGUAAAAAGUAACUGCUUUGUUCUUUUACUGUCCAAUUGAUAAUAUGAAAAUAAAGUACUCCUCCUGUCAUUGUA